UACGAAGGGGGCUAGCGUUGCUCGGAAUCACUGGGCGUAAAGGGUGCGUAGGCUGGUCUUUAAGUCAGGGGUGAAAUCCUGGAGCUCAACUCCAGAACUGCCUUUGAUACUGAGGAUCUUGAGUACGGGAGAGGUGAGUGGAACUGCGAGUGUAGAGGUGAAAUUCGUAGAUAUUCGCAAGAACACUAGUGGCGAAGGCGGCUCACUGGCCCGUUACUGACGCUGAGGCACGAAAGCGUGGGGAGCAAACAGG
rnacentral:rRNA from 1 species